rnacentral:pre_miRNA from 1 species
GCUUGAUGAGUAGAUGAUCAUAGUGCUUGAGUUGGUAAAGGAGUGGAAGAUCAUUUCAAUGUUUAUCUUAUAAGAUGGGGCUUGAAAUGAUCAUCCACUCCUUUACCAACUCAAGCACUAUGAUCAUCUACUCAU